AAAUACUCUCUAGUGACCGAUAGUGAACCAGUACCGUGAGGGAAAGGUGAAAAGCACCCCGGAAGGGGAGUGAAAUAGAACCUGAAACCGUGUGCUUACAAGUAGUCAGAGCCCGUUAAUGGGUGAUGGCGUGCCUUUUGUAGAAUGAACCGGCGAGUUACGAUUUGAUGCAAGGUUAAGCAGUAAAUGUGGAGCCGUAGCGAAAGCGAGUCUGAAUAGGGCGUUUAGUAUUUGGUCGUAGACCCGAAACCAGGUGAUCUACCCUUGGUCAGGUUGAAGUUCAGGUAACACUGAAUGGAGGACCGAACCGACUUACGUUGAAAAGUGAGCGGAUGAACUGAGGGUAGCGGAGAAAUUCCAAUCGAACCUGGAGAUAGCUGGUUCUCUCCGAAAUAGCUUUAGGGCUAGCCUCAAGUGAUGAUUAUUGGAGGUAGAGCACUGUUUGGACGAGGGGCCCCUCUCGGGUUACCGAAUUCAGACAAACUCCGAAUGCCAAUUAAUUUAACUUGGGAGUCAGAACAUGGGUGAUAAGGUCCGUGUUCGAAAGGGAAACAGCCCAGACCACCAGCUAAGGUCCCAAAAUAUAUGUUAAGUGGAAAAGGAUGUGGCGUUGCCCAGACAACUAGGAUGUUGGCUUAGAAGCAGCCAUCAUUUAAAGAGUGCGUAAUAGCUCACUAGUCGAGUGACACUGCGCCGA
rnacentral:rRNA from 1 species